rnacentral:rRNA from 1 species
AUUGAACGCUGGCGGCAGGCCUAACACAUGCAAGUCGAGCGGAUGAAGGGAGCUUGCUCCUGGAUUCAGCGGCGGACGGGUGAGUACUGCCUAGGAAUCUGCCUGGUCGUGGGGGAUAACGUCCGGAAACGGGCGCUAAUACCGCAUACGUCCUGAGGGAGAAAGUGGGGGAUCUUCGGACCUCACGCCAUCAGAUGAGCCUAGGUCGGAUUCGCUAGUUUGUGGGGUAAAGGCCUACCAAGGCGACGAUCCGUAACUGGUCUGAGAGGAAGAUCAGUCACACUGGAACUGAGACACGGUCCAGACUCCUACGGGAGGCAGCAGUGGGGAAUAUUAGACGAUGGGCGAAAGCCUGAUACAGCCAUGCCGCGUGUGUGAAGAAGGUCUUCGGAUUGGAAAGCACUGUAAGUUGGGGGGAAGGGCAGUAAGUUAAUACCUUGCUGUUUUGACGGUACCAACAGAAUAAGCACCGGCUAACUUCGUG